rnacentral:lncRNA from 1 species
CUUGUCUCUGCGCAAAUUUUCGUCUGACCGGAUCUCCUGGUGCUGGGUAACUCUUGACGAAUGAAGCCCAAGUUGGAUAAAUUCCAUCUGUCAGAUAGUAUCCUUUGUUAUACAUCCGACCAUUCACCGUGAAUUGAACUGGUGGGGCAUUUCCCUGAAGGAAUUGAUUAAAUAAUGGAGAUCCAUGAAGAACAUUGAUAUCAUUGCUUGCUCCGGCGACGCCAAAGAAAGCAUGCCAUAUCCACAAAUCUGCCGAUGCCACCGCUUCAAGAACUAUUGUAGGAAC